rnacentral:rRNA from 1 species
GAUGAACGCUGGCGGCGUGCCUAAUACAUGCAAGUCGAGCGAACGGACGAGAAGCUUGCUUCUCUGAUGUUAGCGGCGGACGGGUGAGUAACACGUGGAUAACCUACCUAUAAGACUGGGAUAACUUCGGGAAACCGGAGCUAAUACCGGAUAAUAUUUUGAACCGCAUGGUUCAAAAGUGAAAGACGGUCUUGCUGUCACUUAUAGAUGGAUCCGCGCUGCAUUAGCUAGUUGGUAAGGUAACGGCUUACCAAGGCAACGAUGCAUAGCCGAACUGAGAGAGUCAUCGGGCACACUGGCACUGAGAGACGGUCCAGACUCCUACGGGUGGCAGCAGUAGGCAAUCUUCCGCAAUGGCCACAAGCCUUACGGAGCAACGCCGCGUGAUUGAUGAAGGUCUUCGUAUCGUACAGCUCUGUUAUUAGGUAAGAACAUAUGUGUAAGUACCUGUGCACAUCUUGACGGUACCUAAUCAGAAAGCCACGGCUAACUACGUG